GAACGGCAGCGCGGGGCAACCUGGCGGCGAGUGGCGAACGGGUGAGUAAUAUAUCGGAACGUACCCUGGAGUGGGGGAUAACGUAGCGAAAGUUACGCUAAUACCGCAUACGAUCUAAGGAUGAAAGUGGGGGCUUCGCAAGAACCUCAUGCUCCUGGAGCGGCCGAUAUCUGAUUAGCUAGUUGGUGGGGUAAAGGCCUACCAAGGCAUCGAUCAGUAGCUGGUCUGAGAGGACGACCAGCCACACUGGAACUGAGACACGGUCCAGACUCCUACGGGAGGCAGCAGUGGGGAAUUUUGGACAAUGGGCGAAAGCCUGAUCCAGCAAUGCCGCGUGAGUGAAGAAGGCCUUCGGGUUGUAAAGCUCUUUUGUCAGGGAAGAAACGGUGAGGGCUAAUAUCCCUUGCUAAUGACGGUACCUGAAGAAUAAGCACCGGCUAACUACGUGCCAGCAGCCGCGGUAAUACGUAGGGUGCAAGCGUUAAUCGGAAUUACUGGGCGUAAAGCGUGCGCAGGCGGUUUUGUAAGUCUGUCGUGAAAUCCCCGGGCUCAACCUGGGAAUUGCGAUGGAGACUGCAAGGCUAGAAUCUGGCAG
rnacentral:rRNA from 1 species